rnacentral:rRNA from 1 species
AUUGAACGCUGGCGGAAUGCUUUACACAUGCAAGUCGAGCGGCAGCGCGGGGGCAACCUUGGCGGCGAGCGGCGAACGGGUGAGUAACAUAUCGGAACGUACCCCGUCGUGGGGGAUAACACAGCGAAAGCUGUGCUAAUACCGCAUACGACCUGAGGGUGAAAGCGGGGGAUCGCAAGACCUCGCGCGAUGGGAGCGGCCGAUAUCGGAUUAGCUUGUUGGUGAGGUAAAGGCUCACCAAGGCGACGAUCCGUAGCUGGUCUGAGAGGACGACCAGCCACACUGGAACUGAGACACGGUCCAGACUCCUACGGGAGGCAGCAGUGGGGAAUUUUGGGCAAUGGGGGCAACCCUGAUCCAGCCAUUCCGCGUGAGUGAAGAAGGCC